rfam:Pseudoalteromonas ruthenica strain S3137 contig0004, whole genome shotgun sequence.
CUUCACUGCCGAACAGGUAGCUUAGAAA